rnacentral:rRNA from 1 species
GUGGCGGACGGGUGAGUAACGCGCCNUUAACUUGCCUUACAGACUGGGACAACAUUUGGAAACGAAUGCUAAUACCGGAUAUUAUGACUGAGUCGCAUGAUUUGGUUAUGAAAGCUAUAUGCGCUGUGAGAGAGCUUUGCGUCCCAUUAGUUAGUUGGUGAGGUAACGGCUCACCAAGACGAUGAUGGGUAGCCGGCCUGAGAGGGUGAACGGCCACAAGGGGACUGAGACACGGCCCUUACUCCUACGGGAGGCAGCAGUGGGGAAUAUUGGACAAUGGACCAAAAGUCUGAUCCAGCAAUUCUGUGUGCACGAUGAAGUUUUUCGGAAUGUAAAGUGCUUUCAGUUGGGAAGAAGUCAGUGACGGUACCAACAGAAGAAGCGACGGCUAAAUACGUGCCAGCAGCCGCGGUAAUACGUAUGUCGCAAGCGUUAUCCGGAUUUAUUGGGCGUAAAGCGCGUCUAGGCGGUUUAGUAAGUCUGAUGUGAAAAUGCGGGGCUCAACCCCGUAUUGCGUUGGAAACUGUUAAACUAGAGUACUGGAGAGGUAGGCGGAACUACAAGUGUAGAGGUGAAAUUCGUAGAUAUUUGUAGGAAUGCCGAUGGGGAAGCCAGCCUACUGGACAGAUACUGACGCUAAAGCGCGAAAGCGUGGGUAGCAAACAGGAUUAGAUACCCUGGUAGUCCACGCCGUAAACGAUGAUUACUAGGUGUUGGGGGUCGAACCUCAGCGCCCAAGCUAACGCGAUAAGUAAUCCGCCUGGGGAGUACGUACGCAAGUUAUGAAACUCAAAGGAAUUGACGGGGAACCCGCACAAGCGGGGGAGCAUGGGGUUUAAUUCGACGCAACGCGAGGAAACCUUACCAGCGUUUUGACAUCCCAAGAAGUUAACAGAGAUGUUUUCGUGCCUCUUCGGAGGAACUUGGGGACAGGUGGUGCAUGGCUGUCGUCAGCUCGUGUCGUGAGAUGUUGGGUUAAGUCCCGCAACGAGCGCAACCCCUUUCGUAUGUUACCAUCAUUAAGUUGGGGACUCAUGCGAGACUGCCUGCGAUGAGCAGGAGGAAGGUGGGGAUGACGUCAAGUCAUCAUGCCCCUUAUACGCUGGGCUACACACGUGCUACAAUGGGUAGUACAGAGAGCUGCAAACCUGCGAGGGUAAGCUAAUCUCAUAAAACUAUUCUUAGUUCGGAUUGUACUCUGCAACUCGAGUACAUGAAGUUGGAAUCGCUAGUAAUCGCAAAUCAGCUAUGUUGCGGUGAAUACGUUCUCGGGUCUUGUACACACCGCCCGUCACACCACGAGAGUUGGUUGCACCUGAAGUAACAGGCCUAACCGUAAGGAGGGAUUUCCGAAGGUG